rnacentral:lncRNA from 1 species
CUAAGACAGACACAGUGACAACAGCUGAGCUAAAGUUCUGGUCAUUUUAUACAUUAGAGUGAGGUUCUCAGAAUUUCUAACAGGUAAGCUAGAUACUCUGUUCUUACUGAUUUUUUUUGUGGUGUUGGUGUUUGACAGUCUUAUGAGUUCAUUUUGUUUUGAGACCUUGAAGCGACCACAGAAUAAUAUAAUUUUAACAGGAUAUUAAGCCUCAGUAUAUGUGGUUAAAUCAAAGUCUGGUCUUGAUUUCAAGUAUACUAUAUUCAUUCAUGUAUCAAAUUGCAGGUAGAAUUUGU